UGUUAAGUGUAUAUAUUGCAGAGAGAAAGAGAGAGAGAAAAAAAAUUGAGACAGUGAUAUAGCAUAACUUAGAUUAUGGAGGCCCCAAAGGCACCGUGCAUGUGCAUGCUGUAUGUUGUAAAAUGGCAACGUUUCGCCUUUUAUCAUGUUUAUUAAAAUGUAUGCUCCAUAUGUAUGUUCUCUCUCUAUAUAUAAAUGAAUCCUUUUCGGAAUUAAAAAAAAAAUAUUUUUACCCCCGCUCAAAUUAUCCGGAUGAUGAUAGUUACACCGAGCAUGGUUUCGUAGUUAAAUUCAUACUGUAGAACAUCCGGUUUGAAUCCAUGUGUUUUCUGACUUUUCGGAUAGCCAACUCAUGUUUUUUUGGAACUUACGACUUAUGGAAAGAGAGAAGAAAACUGUGUGACUUUAAAAGAAAACCAGUGAGAUAAAAUCAUAGAAAAUGUAUGAUGAUUCAGGAUGUGGUCAUUUGUGACAUUAAAACAGGAAUUGUCAUCACCAAUAGACGAAUUUCACAUUCCUUAGAGUUUUCUCCAAUUGUCGGUAUAUCGCUCAUUUUCCCCACUUUGUCCUUUGUCCUGUUCUGUGGAUGCCCUAAGACAGUGUCUACCCAUCACUCCAUCUGAAAUCACUUGUUCUGUGCAUAUUUCUCUCUCAAACUUAAACUACAGAGAGCCUGUGGAUAGAGGAUGAAGAGUGACCUUGGACUAAUUUUCUAGGUCAAAGAUCAUAGGUGACGUGAAGAAAACCAGGAAACUGAUGUUGAAAGAAGUACUUAAUGACCCUUAUGAAUGGACUUAAAUGUGAAAGACUGUUCCAUUGUUUAUCUAAGAUAUAUGAAUUUAUUUAAUAUUUUGAUAUCAUUGAAAAAUUCAGUUACAGUUUUUGUACAUCAAAUGAAUUAUUAAACAUAUAAAAUGGUAA